CAUUCCCAUUGUUCUGAGCUCCCUGGGCUGCUAUAAAAGGUGCUCAAGGGCCCUCAGUGUCACUGCACUGGAGCAUCACCACGGGGCUGGCAGGACAUUCUGCAGGUCAGGACUCCCCUGGGAUCCAAACACCACCAGUGAAAGCAAGAACAGAGGAAAAGAUUUCUGGUCACACUGCCAGCUUCUGGUCCUGUGGAGCUGAUUUAAAGAAGAGAGAAAAUGUUCCUGCCCCAGAGAUCUCUGCAGACAGUUACAUUUUUGGCAAUUCUGUUUUUUGCCUGUUUUACAAUGGG
rnacentral:lncRNA from 1 species